CUACGGGAGGCAGCAGUGGGGAAUCUUGGACAAUGGGGGCAACCCUGAUCCAGCAAUGCCGCGUGGGUGAAGAAGGCCUUUGGGUUGUAAAGCCCUUUCGGCAGGGAAGAAGGCGUUGGAGUUGAACAGGCUUUGACGUUUGACGGUACCUGCGGAAGAAGCACCGGCUAACUACGUGCCAGCAGCCGCGGUAAUACGUAGGGUGCGAGCGUUAAUCGGAAUGACUGGGCGUAAAGGGUGCGCAGGCGGUUCUGCAAGUCUGAUGUGAAAGCCCCGGGCUUAACCUGGGAAUGGCAUUGGAAACUGCAGGGCUUGAGUGUGGCAGAGGAAGGUGGAAUUCCUGGUGUAGCGGUGAAAUGCGUAGAUAUCAGGAGGAACACCAAUGGCGAAGGCAGCCUUCUGGGCCGCAACUGACGCUCAUGCACGAAAGCGUGGGGAGCAAACAGGAUUAGAUACCCUGGUAGUCCACGCCCUAAACGAUGUCGACCAGCCAUCAGAUGAGGAAUCAUGUGGUG
rnacentral:rRNA from 1 species